UACGUAGGGUGCAAGCGUUAAUCGGAAUUACUGGGCGUAAAGCGUGCGCAGGCGGUUGUGCAAGACAGAUGUGAAAGCCCCGGGCUCAACCUGGGAAUGGCAUUUGUGACUGCACGGCUAGAGUGUGUCAGAGGGGGGUAGAAUUCCACGUGUAGCAGUGAAAUGCGUAGAGAUGUGGAGGAAUACCGAUGGCGAAGGCAGCCCCCUGGGAUGACACUGACGCUCAUGCACGAAAGCGUGGGGAGCAAACAGG
rnacentral:rRNA from 1 species